ensembl:lncRNA
UUUCCUUCCAUGUUCUUAUCACCUGGACUUGGCCACUUUUUUUUUUCUUUUUGGUUUUUUUGAGACAUAGUCUCACUAUGUAGUUCAGGCUGGACUCCCAACUUUCAGUGAUCCUUCUACCUCAGCCUCCUGAGUGCUGGAAUUACAGGUGUGCACCACCACGCCCCACAAGGCCAUUUCUUUUUCUUUUUCUUUUUUUUUUAAAUUUUAUUUUAUCCCAUUCUCCCCAUGGCCAUUUCUUACACUGUACUAAAAAAAACAGCACAACACUAGAAGAAGUCUUUCUAGGAACAUUGCAUCCUUCUCCUUUCCUUCUGGACAGGGUUGGCCAUAAAUGAGCUACACUGAUAAAUGACUCUCCUGGUCCAGGUCAGCUCAGAAGAGGGAAAGUUAACACUGAAACUCAGUGAUAUGAAUAAAGACUCGUUAGUGUUAAAAUUUUUUUGUUGUUGCAGUUUAACACUAAAGGUUUCUGGUGGAGUUUUCUACAUACCCUUCUCACCCAGUGGUGGGAAACAGAAACAGAUCCUUUCCCAUAUAAUAACUCCUGUACUCCAAGACCAGGACUAAAGGAUGAGCAUGUAGCUCAGUAGAGCUCUUGCUUUGCUUCUAUGGCGACCUGGGUUCAAUCCCCAACACUAACAGAAAAUAAAUCUCAGGCUGGGGAUUUAGCUUAGUGGUUCUAGUGCCUGCCUCACAAGCACAAGGUCCCGAGUUUGAUCCCUGGUACCAAAAAAAAAAAAAAAAAAGAAAAGAAAUCUCUCUUGGGACCAAUUAAUAUGAACUGUUUACAGGUUACCUUUUCCUGGGUUCCAGUGCCCAUCCUUUCCUUGUUUGCUCUUUUUUAAAAUCUGAACUCAGUUAAACAACCAGUCAUUGAAAUCUUCCGUAGCUAGUGGGUUAACUGGAAAAGGGGGAAGACCAAUGGUGUUCAUCAUUGACAACAAAAUCCCAGUUGGUUACCCUGUAGUCCAAUUGUGGUUAAAACAAACAACUUCCAGAUGACUAAAAAUCCUACCUCGGGUCAGUUACAUUCAGCAGAAAAUCAGCAUCUCAGAAAAUGUGGAAAGAUGACUUCCCAGUUGUUUUAAGAAACCAGCCAGAUUUGCUACUAUUUGGCGAAGCAGAGAACAUAGGAGCAACACAAGAAGAUGUACUAUCUGGGAACCUCUGCUCCCCUUCCAUUCACAUUCCACUCCUGCAUUUGCAUAUUCACCGAAUUGAGAUGAUAACCAGAUACAUUUCAUAACCCAAAGAGAAGCCUUCCAAGCUUUGGGGCUGAUGUGCAUAUUUACUUCCCUUUAGUAGGAUCAGGUCUUUCCUCUUUGGUGUUGUAGAAAAUUAUGUAAAGCAGCAUUAAUUACCUUGAGUGUCUAUGUAAAAGUAUGUCUCUUAACCAUUUAUAGUAUUUUGGUUUUAGGUUGCGAGGCAGACAGCGGAACAACUGAGCUAAAUCCCCGGCCCUGUUUUAGGUUUUUUUGAGAUAGGGUCUCCCCAUGCAGUGCAAGCUGGCCCUGAAUUCACCAUGUAGCCCAGUCUGGCCUUGAACUCUCAGCAAUCCUGUUUAGCCUCUCGAGUGCUGAGAUUACAGGUGUGCACCACCAGGCCUGGCUCAUUUGUCAUACUGUUAACCAACAUAGAUAGUUAACUUUUGGGGGAAAAUAUUUUACUUCUUCAUUCCGCCUUUUUUUCUUCAAAAAGAUUUAUUUUUUUGGUACACAGGUCAAACUCACGACCUGUGCUUGUGCACAUUGCUACUGAGCUAAAUCCCCGGCCCUCUUCAAAAAGAUUUUUAAAAUCACUUUUUUCCUUUCAAGAAGUACUUGAAUACAUUCUAAAAAAAAAAAAAAAAAAAAAAUUAACACCCAGAACCUUUGCUCUAAGCUAUGUCCCCAGGCCUUUUAAGAUUUAUGUAUUAUUAUUUUUAAGACAGUCUUGCUACGUUACCAAGUUGCCCAGGCUGGGCUUGAAAUUGUGAUCUUCCUGUCUCAGCCUCCCAGACUGUUGGCAUUACAGGCAUGUGCCACCACACCUGGCUUCUAACACUUUCUUUUUAAAUGAGUGCAGGGCUGGGGAUUUAGCUCAGUGGUUUUGCCGCUGCAGGCCCAAGGACCCGUGUUCGAUCUCCAGUACCAAAAAAAAAAAAAUGAGUGAAAAUAACUGAAGAUGAAGUAAGAAUUUCUUUUUACAUUAUAGCCUUCUAUAGAUAAAUGCUUUCUUCUUUACUUGCCUGGUAUAUUAGAAAGAUCUGAACACUAAUAAUCCUUGCUCUGGUAUUUAAUAAUAAUGCAACUUUACACACUGUUAAGUUUCUAACCCUUCAUGUCCUUUGGUUGAUAAUGUCCACCUGACUAGAUUUGGUGAAGAUUAUAGAUGGGAUAAGAUAUAUAACACACCUGGUGUGCCUCUUCUUUUUUUUCUUUUCCCAUUGAGUCUUUGAUAGUUUUAACUCCAAUGAGCUGUGAACAAGCGCAUGACUUGCUUGUACCAUAUAGUUCACGUCAUGCUAAAGUUAAACAGAGGGACACAAAAAUCUGAAAGACUUAAAUGUUAAAACAGGCCUUCUGCAAGGAUUUUUUUUAAACCUUGGAAUUCUCUUCACUGCAUCAUUGCUGUAUCUAUUGAAUUAAGGGGAGACAAUUCCAGAGAUGGAUUUUAAAUUACCUAGUUACUCUGGACAUGUUGUAAUGUUCCCUUAUAUAAUGCCUAGCUAAAAAAACUUUUUGGGUUACAAAAUUAUACGUAGAGGGCCAGGGAUUUAGCUCAGUGGUUGUGCCGCCUGCUGUGCAAGUGCAAGGACCGAGUUCGAUCCCCGGUACCAAAAAAAAAACCAAAAACAAAAUUAUAUGUACACUAUGAAUAUGAUUGUGUAAAGAAUAAAAACUUUUGCAUAGAAAAGACUAAUCCAG